GAUGAACGCUGGCGGCGUGCCUAAUACAUGCAAGUCGAGCGAACAGACGAGGAGCUUGCUCCUCUGACGUUAGCGGCGGACGGGUGAGUAACACGUGGAUAACCUACCUAUAAGACUGGGAUAACUUCGUGAAACCGGAGCUAAUACCGGAUAAUAUAUUGAACCGCAUGGUUCAAUAGUGAAAGACGGUUUUGCUGUCACUUAUAGAUGUAUCCGCGGCGCAUUAGAUAGUUGGUAAUGUAACGGCUUACCAAGGCAACGAUGCGUAGCCGACCUGAGAGGGUGAUCGGCCCCACUGGAACUGAGACACGAUCCAGACUACUAAGGGAGGCAGCAGUAGCAAAUCUACAGCAAUGGGCGAAAGCCUGACGGAGCAACACCACGUGAGUGAUAAAGGUCUUCGGAUCGUAAAACUCUGUAAUUAGGGAAGAACACAUGUGUAAGUAACUAUGCACAUCUUGACGGUACCUAAUAAGAAAGCCACGGCUAACUACGUG
rnacentral:rRNA from 1 species